GUCCCUCGGGGACAGGGUGACAGGUGGUGCAUGGUUGUCGUCAGCUCGUGUCGUGAGAUGUUGGGUUAAGUCCCGCAACGAGCGCAACCCUCGACCUUAGUUGCCAGCAUUCAGUUGGGCACUCUAAGGUGACUGCCGGCUAAAAGUCGGAGGAAGGUGGGAUGACGUCAAGUCCUCAUGGCCCUUAUAGGUGGGGCUACACACGUCAUACAAUGGCCGGUACAAAGGGCUGCCAACCCGCGAGGGGAGCCAAUCCCAUAAAACCGGUCGUAGUCCGGAUCGCAGUCUGCAACUCGACUGCGUGAAGUCGGAAUCGCUAGUAAUCGUGGAUCAGAAUGUCACGGUGAAUACGUUCCCGGGUCUU
rnacentral:rRNA from 1 species